CCCAUCUCCUCCUGCGAUCCUGGCGUCGCCCCGCCCCACCUUCUCCCUCACUUCCGGCGCUACCUAUCGAUCCCCUCGACGACACAGAGCCGCCGUCCUCUCGUGCGAUCUCGCAGCCGCAUCCGCCAACGCCGAUCCGGGCAGACGCGGCCGUCGUGGAUCACGAGGAUCCGGAUGAUGGGGGCGUGGAGAUGGCCAUGGAUCUGUUACAACGACGACGGCGCCGGAUCCGCACCCGCAACAUCCGGAUGGAGGCCGGCGACGAACCCUAGCCUAGCCGUCAGCAUCGGGAUCCAACCCCUUCUCUCGGUGUUGGGGCAAGGCGUAUGGGGGUGCUUGUUGCGGCGGUGGACCUCGACCCGGCGACAUCUGCAGCAUCUCCCUCCCGUCGGGCUGCAGGACCUGUACGCCCAAGGUACGCCUCCUCCUUCCUUUCCCCUCCCUACCAAGACUGCAGCUUGCUGAUGUGUCGAUUAGUGGUAGUGAUGGAUCUAGGAUGAGGAUAAACUGGCGAAUAAUCCAUCUUGAACUGGCCUGCAUGUUUGGUUGAGCAUAUAUACGCAGUGUGAUUAAAUCUCACUAGCAGUCUACACAACAGUUGAUGGGAGUUUGAAAAUAACAGCAACAACAGCUAUCUAAUCCUCCCGCCUAGCCUGCAUGUGAGGAACGAAUCAAGCCCUUGUGUCUGUCUCUCUCAAUGUGUAAAGCAAGAGCAAUCUCUCCCGCCUAGCCUAGGAUACAUCACCCGUCAUGGAUCAGCAUCCCCAGGACGCCGCCGCCGCCGCCGUGGAUCCACUGCCACGCACAGCUCGGGCCCAAGCUAUGUGCGCCGUUUGUCUGGAUGUCGAUCGGGGGCGACGUGAGGAGGGACAAGGUAGAGAAAGGGGGUCAGGUUAGCGCCGCAGUAGAGGUGAGUGAAGGGGCCGGGGUUGCGUCGCCGCCGAGAUGCGCAAGGGAAUCAGAGCUGUGCAAAGCGGAUUCAUCAAAGCACUUCGCUCCCGCUGCCUUUGGCCUGAUGCUUAGAUGGAUUGAUGCGUAAGUUUGAAUCCUUUCAUUUUUCACUUCUCUAAUGGGUGGCUGAUGGCUUAAUGCUUUGAUGGAUCGAUGCAUGCUAGAACUGGCUGAUAUGUGCGUGUGUGUGCAUAUUUUUUUCUUUUCAUUUUUGCAGAGAUUGGUUCAGUUUCUCUGUUUAUGGAUUUCUUCUUUCUUCUGUCUGUGUUUGUCACCCUGUUGCUGAAUGAUCUGGUGAUUUUUUUUUCUUUGUGUGCAGGGAUGUGAUGUAUGCACCUCAUGGUACACAUAGGGUUUUGAUUUGCUUUCCUUGACUGCAGAAGAUGUUAUUAUGAUGAGCCAGGUCAUGGUACACAGGCUAACUAAACAAGCUUCUGUUGUUUUAUUGUUGGUCGUUCCCGUCCACUGCUGCCAACAGUCAAUUUUCUGCAGGGUUUUUAUUUCUUUCUCUUCCAUCGAAAGCUCCUUUUUGCCACUGAUUAAUUAGUUGAUGCAUGUGGAGAUUUUCGAUACUAGGAGAACCAAGUUUAAACAUGUGCAAUUCCAUCUAUCUAGCAUCAAUUUCGGGUGAGGUUAGACUACAAGAAAGACUAGAUAUUAAGCUUGUUCAUUCUAUCUACACCUUUUGAAUCUGAAGUGACUACUGUUGUAAAUAAUGCUACUUGAGUACCUGGUUGAUUGGUUUUGUUUAUUGUGGCAUUGAGUAGCCUACUACAUUAGUGGUGUCAGCUAUAUUUUGUAAGUUUGUUAUCGAUUCAAUUUAGUUAUUUGUGUGUGUGAUUGAAAAAUAAUGGUUUACAUAUGAAUUGCUACAGUUUUAUAUAAUACUCUUUGAUCUGUGCUGCUAGGUCUGCUACUGCGUGCAUGACAACAUGAGGUGUCGCAAUCGGUGCGGUAUGCUGGUGAUAGAUGUUCUCGAUUGUGAUGCCCAAGCCUGUCUGCCGCAAUUGUGUGUUCGUUACUGCUGAGGUUAGAAAAAGCAUACAUCAAUUUUUCUCCUGCAAUUGUACGGUCGUUUCUGCUUUAGUUUAGAAAAACAUAAAACUGAGUUAUUUUUGCCUUUGGCAGACAGUCAUCCUACUUCGUAGUAAUCUGUGCCUUUCGUAUUUGCAUACUAAUCACGAGCCUUUUCUUCAUAAUGCUAAAUUUUGAAUUGCUUUGGCUCUAUAAUUUGUUUGAACUGAUCAUUUAAGAAUUUCAGAUAAGCGCAUCCAGAUCUUUUGACCCUUCCACGAAAAGGUGUAACAUGGUAAAUUUGUCGCAACAAGCAGCAUGGCAUUCUUGAUAGCUUUUCUCCCUAUUAUGACUUGCAUCUUUCUACCUUGCCCCAAAUUAAAUUUGAUUGGGACUGUUUGAUUGAAUGUCAAAUAAAGAUCAACUUUAUCUCUGAUCGAUUCAUGGAAAUGGAAACUGAAUAAUAUUCUGAUUAUUACUUGCAUGCUAUAUUCACUGUUUUUGGUUUAACAACUUGCAAGUGUUUCUUUUAAUCCGCAGAAAAAGGACUCACGGGUGGACAUCUGCUAUAAAUUACCUAGGCCUGGUCAUCUGCGUGAGUUGCAUCUGUCAUUUUUCUUCCCAGGUAGAACAUUAGUUUUGAUUAAAAACAAGGUAGAACAUUAGUGUUCUCCACAGUUUGAUGGGAACACUUUGACUUUCUGUAACCCCUAGAUUUGGUAUUUCCUGAUGAUUGCUUGCGGUUCUUCUUACUUUCUGGUAUAAAUAGAGAAAAAUGAGGAUAUUGUAGUUAUUUUAGAAUGUUCAAGAUUUAGGUGUCCAUACUGUGCUAACUAUGGUCUGAAUUGUUUUGCGGAAUCAUGAUGUCAUGUCGUGAUUACACAAUUCCAAGCUGUGGUUCAGAAGCACACUUCGCUAAAAUACACAUAAUGGUUUUUUUGGGUUUUCUUCUCACAAUAUAUGUACGUAAAUCAUGUAAUUUGCAACCUUGGUAAG
rnacentral:lncRNA from 1 species